rnacentral:rRNA from 1 species
CAUUUGCCAAGAAUGUUUUUCAUUAAUCAAGAACGAAAGUUAGAGGUUCGAAGGCGAUUAGAUACCGCCCUAGUUCUAACCAUAAACGAUGCCAGCUAGCGAUCUGAGGACGUUUUUUUUGUAGACUCCUCAGGAAGCUUCCGGGAAACCAAAGCGUGUGGGUUCCGGGGGAAGUAUGGUUGCAAAGCUGAAACUUAAAGGAAUUGACGGAAGGGCACCACCAGGAGUGGAGCCUGCGGCUUAAUUUGACUCAACACGGGAAAUCUCACCAGGCCCGGACACUGGAAGGAUUGACAGAUUGAGAGCUCUUUCUCGAUUCGGUGGGUGGUGGUGCAUGGCCGUUCUUAGUUGGUGGAGUGAUUUGUCUGGUUAAUUCCGAUAACGAACGAGACUCUGUCCUGCUAAAUAGUGUCAGCCUCUCUUUUGGGCUGACAAUUCUUCUUAGAGGGACUGGUGGUUCCUAACCACACGAGAUAGAGCAAUAACAGGUCUGUGAUGCCCUUAGAUGUUCUGGGCCGCACGCGCGCUACACUGAAUAGAUCAGCGUGUUCUCCCUUUCUGAGAAGAACGGGUAAACCGUUGAACCCUAUUCGUGGUAGGGAUCGGGGCUUGCAAUUAUUCCCCGUGAACCAGGAAUUCCCAGUAGGCGCAAGUCAUAAGCUUGCGUCGAUUACGUCCCUGCCCUUUGUACACACCGCCCGUCGCUACUACCGAUUGAACGUUUUAGUGAGGUCCACGGACUGUUUGCCAAGCGGAUUGUUCUGCCUGGCUGGCGGGAAGUCGACC